AGCAAGCGUACCGUCGGCGCGAUGAAGCGGGUGGUGCUGUACCCGUCGCCGGGGAUGGGCCACCUGGUGUCCAUGAUCGAGCUGGGCAAGCUCUUCGCGGCGCGGGGGCUGGCCGUCACCAUCCUCAUCGUGGAGCUGCCCUUCGUCGACACCGGCGCGCGCGGCCCCUUCCUGGCCGGCGUCACCGCGGCCAACCCGGCCAUCUCCUUCCACUGCCUGCCCCGCGUGCAGUUCCCGCCGCUCGCCUCCCCGCACCCCGAGGCCGUCACCUACGAGGUCGCCCGCCUCUCCAACCCGCACCUCCGCGACUUCCUCCUCGCCGGUGAUGCCCGUCCGGCCGUCCUCGUCGUCGACUUCUUCUGCAGCGUGGCCCUCGACCUCGCCGCCGAGCUCGGGGUCCCGGGCUACUGCUUCUUCACGUCCGGCGCCGAGGCCCUGGCCUCGUUCCUGUACCUGCCGGUGCUGCACGAGCAGAGCGCCGCCAGCUUCCGGGAGAUGGGCGAGGAGCUGGUGCGCGUGCCGGGGAUCUCGCCGUUCCCGGCGACGCACGCGAUCAAGCCGCUCCAGGACCGCGACGACUCGGCGUACCGGGGGUUCUUGCGGGUGUCGCCCGACCUCUGCCGCUCCCGGGGCAUCAUCAUCAACACGUUCCGCUCAUUGGAGCCGCGCGCCGUGGAGGCGAUCGGCGCCGGGCUGUGCACGCCGCCUGGCCUGCCGACGGCGCCGGUGCACUGCAUCGGGCCGCUGAUAAAGUCGGCGGAGGUGGGCGUGAAGCGCGGCGGGGACAGGUGCCUGGCGUGGCUGGACGCGCAGCCGGAGGGCAGCGUGGUGUUCCUCUGCUUCGGCAGCCUGGGCGUGUUCAGCGCGGCGCAGAUCAGGGAGAUCGGCGUCGGGCUGGAGGCGAGCGGCCUGAGAUUUCUAUGGGUGGUCCGCAGCCCGCCGAACGAGGACCCGGCCAAGAGGUUCGAGGAGCCGCCGGAGCCGGACCUCGACGCCCUCCUGCCGGAGGGCUUCCUGGCCCGGACGGAGGACAGGGGCCUGGUCGUCAAGACGUGGGCGCCGCAGCGGGACGUGCUGGCGCACGGCGCGGUGGGCGGGUUCGUGACGCACUGCGGGUGGAACUCGGUGCUGGAGGCGGUGAUGGCGGGCGUGCCGAUGCUGGCGUGGCCGCUGUACGCGGAGCAGCGGCUGAACCGGGUGUUCCUGGAGAAGGAGCUGGGGCUGGCCGCGGCGGUGGAGGGGUACGAGACUGAGCUGGUGGAGGCCGGCGAGGUGGAGAAGAAGGUGCGGUGGCUGAUGGAGUCCGACGGCGGGCGCGUGCUCCGGGAGCGCACGCUGGCCGCCAUGACAAGGGCCAAGGAGGCGCUGGGCGAGGGCGGGGAGUCGGACGUGACGCUCACCAAGCUGGUGGAGGCCUGGAUGGGAGACCAUGCAGGCUCGGCUGAGAAGCGAUAA
rnacentral:rRNA from 1 species